CGCGGCCUAUCAGCUUGUUGGUGAGGUAAUGGCUCACCAAGGCGUCGACGGGUAGCCGGCCUGAGAGGGUGACCGGCCACACUGGGACUGAGACACGGCCCAGACUCCUACGGGAGGCAGCAGUGGGGAAUAUUGCACAAUGGGCGGAAGCCUGAUGCAGCAACGCCGCGUGAGGGAUGACGGCCUUCGGGUUGUAAACCUCUUUUAGCAGGGAAGAAGCGAAAGUGACGGUACCUGCAGAAAAAGCGCCGGCUAACUACGUGCCAGCAGCCGCGGUAAUACGUAGGGCGCAAGCGUUAUCCGGAAUUAUUGGGCGUAAAGAGCUCGUAGGCGGUUUGUCGCGUCUGCUGUGAAAACCCGAGGCUCAACCUCGGGCCUGCAGUGGGUACGGGCAGACUAGAGUGCGGUAGGGGAGAUUGGAAUUCCUGGUGUAGCGGUGGAAUGCGCAGAUAUCAGGAGGAACACCGAUGGCGAAGGCAGAUCUCUGGGCCGUAACUGACGCUGAGGGGCGAAAGGGUGGGGAGCAAACAGGCUUAGAUACCCUGGUAGUCCACCCCGUAAACGUUGGGAACUAGUUGUGGGGUCCAUUCCACGGAUUCCGUGACGCAGCUAACGCAUUAAGUUCCCCGCCUGGGA
rnacentral:rRNA from 1 species